rnacentral:rRNA from 1 species
UACAGAGGGUGCAAGCGUUGUUCGGAAUUACUGGGCGUAAAGCGCACGUAGGCGGCUUUGUAAGUUAGAGGUGAAAGCCCGGGGCUCAACUCCGGAAUUGCCUUUAAGACUGCAUCGCUAGAAUUGUGGAGAGGUAAGUGGAAUUCCGAGUGUAGAGGUGAAAUUCGUAGAUAUUCGGAAGAACACCAGUGGCGAAGGCGACUUACUGGACACAUAUUGACGCUGAGGUGCGAAAGCGUGGGGAGCAAACAGGG